GGUAUGGGAUGAGCUUGCGUCCGAUUAGCUAGUUGGCGGGGCAACGGCCCACCAAGGCGACGAUCGGUAGCCGGCCUGAGAGGGUGAUCGGCCACAUUGGGACUGAGAUACGGCCCAGACUCCUACGGGAGACAGCAGUAGGGAAUAUUGCACAAUGGGGGAAACCCUGAUGCAGCAACGCCACGUGUGGGAAGAAGCAUUUCGGCGUGUAAACCACUGUCGUGAGGGAAUAAGGCUGAGUUUCGGCUCAGUUGAAUGUACCUCGAGAGGAAGCACCGGCAAACUUCGUGCCAUCAGCCGCGGUAAUACGAGGGGCGCAAGCGUUGUUCGGAAUCACUGGGCGUAAAGGGAGCGCAGGCGGAAGCUCAAGCGGAUUGUACAAUACCGGGGCCCAACCCCGGACCUGCAGUCCGAACUGGGUUUCUUGGAUAGUUCAGGGGCAGGC
rnacentral:rRNA from 1 species